UUGAAUAAUCGGCAAACUACUCGAAAGGGUAGGGCGCAAAGCUAUAGGGGCUACGUCUAUUGUAUAGAUAUGCCAGCCAGUUGCCCUU
rnacentral:ncRNA from 1 species